ensembl:lncRNA
CCCAAAGACAGUCAACUGGACUGCCAGUCUGGCUCACUAUCAGCUAUGGUUUUCAGGUAGUAGGCCUCUCCAGGCCUCCCUGAAAAUAAGCUUUCCACUUAGGGUGGUUUUCUGGUAACAGGUAGUAGGCCUCACUAGGCCUCCCUGAAGUUGAGCUCCCACAUACUGUGGUUGUCAGCUAGUAGGCCUCACCAGGCCUCCCUGGAGGUUUAGCUCCCACAUACUGUGCGUUUCCACUAAACAGCAUGGUUUUUCAGGUAGUAGGCCCCUCCAGGCCUCCCUGUAAGCAAGCGCCCAUGUUUUGUGGUUGUCAG